UCGGGAAUUUUGGGCAAUGGGCGAAAGCCUGACCCAGCAACGCCGCGUGAAGGAUGAAGUAUUUCGGUAUGUAAACUUUCGAAAGAAUAGGAAGAAUAAAUGACGGUACUAUUUAUAAGGUCCGGCUAACUACGUGCCAGCAGCCGCGGUAAUACGUAGGGACCAAGCGUUGUUCGGAUUUACUGGGCGUAAAGGGCGCGUAGGCGGCAAUUCAAGUCAUCUGUGAAAUCUCCGGGCUUAACUCGGAACGGUCAGAUGAUACUGCUUUGCUAGAGUGCAGAAGGGGCAAUCGGAAUUCUUGGUGUAGCGGUGAAAUGCGUAGAUAUCAAGAGGAACACCUGAGGUGAAGACGGGUUGCUGGGCUGACACUGACGCUGAGGCGCGAAAGCCAGGGGAGCAAACGGAAUUAGAUACCCCCGUAGUCCCUGAGCGGGCUGGCAAGGCGCAU
rnacentral:rRNA from 1 species